AGAGUUUGAUCCUGGCUCAGAUUGAACGCUGGCGGCAUGCUUUACACAUGCAAGUCGAACGGCAGCGCGGGGCAACCUGGCGGCGAGUGGCGAACGGGUGAGUAAUAUAUCGGAACGUACCCAAGAGUGGGGGAUAACGUAGCGAAAGUUACGCUAAUACCGCAUACGAUCUAAGGAUGAAAGCAGGGGAUCUUCGGACCUUGUGCUCCUGGAGCGGCCGAUAUCUGAUUAGCUAGUUGGUGAGGUAAAGGCUCACCAAGGCCACGAUCAGUAGCUGGUCUGAGAGGACGACCAGCCACACUGGAACUGAGACACGGUCCAGACUCCUACGGGAGGCAGCAGUGGGGAAUUUUGGACAAUGGGCGAAAGCCUGAUCCAGCAAUGCCGCGUGAGUGAAGAAGGCCUUCGGGUUGUAAAGCUCUUUUGUCAGGGAAGAAACGGUGAAGGCUAAUAUCCCUCGCUAAUGACGGUACCUGAAGAAUAAGCACCGGCUAACUACGUGCCAGCAGCCGCGGUAAUACGUAGGGUGCAAGCGUUAUCCGGAUUCAUUGGGUUUAAAGGGUGCGUAGGCGGCUUUUUAAGUCAGUGGUGAAAUCUUGCCGCUUAACGGUAAAAUUGCCAUUGAUACUGAAAAGCUUGAGUACAAUUGAGGUAAGCGGAAUGUGUAGUGUAGCGGUGAAAUGCUUAGAUAUUACACAGAACACCGAUUGCGAAGGCAGCUUACUAAACUGUUACUGACGCUGAUGCACGAAAGCGUGGGGAGCGAACAGGAUUAGAUACCCUGGUAGUCC
rnacentral:rRNA from 1 species